rnacentral:rRNA from 1 species
CCUACGGGAGGCAGCAGUGGGGAAUAUUGCACAAUGGGGGAAACCCUGAUGCAGCAACGCCGCGUGAAGGAAGACGGUUUUCGGAUUGUAAACUUCUGUUCUUAGUGAAGAAUAAUGACGGUAGCUAAGGAGCAAGCCACGGCUAACUACGUGCCAGUAGCCGCGGUAAUACGUAGGUGGCAAGCGUUGACCGGAAUUACUGGGGGUAAAGGGAGCGCAGGCGGGACGCCAAGUCAGCUGUGAAAACUACGGGCUUAACUUGUAGACUGCAGUUGAAACUGGUUUUCUUGAGUGAAGUAGAGGUUGGCGGAAUGCCUGGUGUAGCGGUGAAAUGCGUAGAUAUUCGGAAGAACACCGGUGGCGAAGGCGGCCAACUGGGCUUUAACUGACGCUGAGGCUCGAAAGUGUGGGGAGCGAACAGGAUUAGAUACCCUUGUAGUC